UAUAUUUGUGAGGCCCCUCAUGGGGGGGUCCUAGUAAUCACAUAAUCACCAUUUUUUUGCCAAUAUAAUCACAUAAUCAUUAAAUAUUUGCUUAUCUUUAGUAAUCAAAUAAUCAUAAACUAAAAAUACAGUCCUAGGUAAUCAAAUAAUCAUGAAAUAUUUGGCUUAAUAAUCAAAUAAUCAUUAAAAAAACGGCCAAGUAAUCACAUAAUCAAAAACCCCAUGAGGGCCCUA
rnacentral:lncRNA from 1 species